GUCGGGAAAUGAUGAUAAGAUAUCAAUAUUACAUAUGCUAUGCAAUGGUGAACCUAAAUUUGCACGUCAGUCUGAUCCCAGC